CAGCGACAGUGCUUCUAGAAUGCAAAAC
rnacentral:sRNA from 1 species